rnacentral:rRNA from 1 species
GAUGAACGCUGGCGGCGUGCCUAAUACAUGCAAGUCGAGCGAACGGACGAGAAGCUUGCUUCUCUGAUGUUAGCGGCGGACGGGUGAGUAACACGUGGAUAACCUACCUAUAAGACUGGGAUAACUUCGGGAAACCGGAGCUAAUACCGGAUAAUAUUUUGAACCGCAUGGUUCAAAAGUGAAAGACGGUCUUGCUGUCACUUAUAGAUGGAUCCGCGCUGCAUUAGCUAGUUGGUAAGGUAACGGCUUACCAAGGCAACGAUGCAUAGCCGACCUGAGAGGGUGAUCGGCCGAACGGGAACGGAGAAACGGUGCAGAGACCGACGGGAGGCAGAAGGAGGGAAGCGUACGGAAUGGGCGAAAGCCUGACGGAGCAACGCGGAGGGAGUGAUGAAGGUGUUCGGAGCGGAAAACUCGGUGAUGAGGGAAGAACAGAUGUGGAAGGAAAAGUGCACAUCGGGAGGGUACCUAAUAAGAAAGCAAAGGAUAACGACGUG